GUACGUACAAGCAGUGGGAGCACAGGUUUACCUGUGUGACUGCGUACCUUUUGUAUAAUGGGUCAGCGACUUAUAUUCUGUAGCAAGGUUAACCGAAUAGGGGAGCCGGAGGGAAACCGAGUCUUAAUUGGGCGUUAAGUUGCAGGGUAUAGACCCGAAACCCGGUGAUCUAGCCAUGGGCAGGUUGAAGGUUGGGUAACACUAACUGGAGGACCGAACCGACUAAUGUUGAAAAA
rnacentral:rRNA from 1 species